AUACUUACCUGGCAGGCAAGAUACCGUGAUCACAAAGGUGGUUUUCCCAGGGUGAGGCUUAUCCAUUGUACUCCAGGUGUGCUUGCUCCUGCGGUUUCCUGUAAGUUGUGAUAGUGGGGGACUGUCUUUGCACUUUCCCCUG
rnacentral:snRNA from 1 species